rnacentral:rRNA from 1 species
UGGGGAAUAUUGGUCAAUGGGCGUAGGCCUGAACCAGCCAAGUAGCGUGAAGGAUGACUGCCCUAUGGGUUGUAAACUUCUUUUAUAUGGGAAUAAAGUUUUCCACGUGUGGAAUUUUGUAUGUACCAUAUGAAUAAGGAUCGGCUAACUCCGUGCCAGCAGCCGCGGUAAUACGGAGGAUCCGAGCGUUAUCCGGAUUUAUUGGGUUUAAAGGGAGCGUAGGUGGACAGUUAAGUCAGUUGUGAAAGUUUGCGGCUCAACCGUAAAAUUGCAGUUGAUACUGGCUGUCUUGAGUACAGUAGAGGUGGGCGGAAUUCGUGGUGUAGCGGUGAAAUGCUUAGAUAUCACGAAGAACUCCGAUUGCGAAGGCAGCUCACUGGACUGCAACUGACACUGAUGCUCGAAAGUGUGGGUAUCAAACAGG